rnacentral:lncRNA from 1 species
AUGAGCCGUGCCGCACAGAACAGCCUACGAGGACAUCGUAGUUUGGCACGAUGCUUUUGUGAGCGUUGAAUAUCGUUGUGAUUAUUCCAUAAUUACGUGAUAUAGCAUCAAAUAAGUAUGGUAAUAUGGCAUAAUAAUAUUCAUCUAGCUCACAAUCGAUAUAGCAACCUCGAUGAUCUAUCGGUAUGAUCAGAUAGAAUUAACUCACGCCAAUCAAACGGUCA